GCUUCAGAAAUAGCCCUGAGACAGGCAGAGGGAGAGACCUAUGUGCUGUGGAGGUGAGAUGCUGAGAGCCUGUACAGAGCUGUCCAUUGCAGCUGCAGCCGUAAUCAGACAAGGGGCCCUAAAGCAUCUGCUGUGCUGUGGAAGGAGCAAAGGUGCCAAGAUUGCCUUUCUUGUCAAGCUCCGUGCUGGGCACAGUGAAAAAGUUCAGAAGUUGAAACAGUAAAUACAAGUUUUAAAAAAAAAGGGAGAAAAGAAAAGAAGACAAGGUGGAAUCAAGUUCUUUUCUGGGCACUAGCUUUCCGGCCCCUGCCCCAGAACCCUCAUUUCUAAGAUUUCCUGGCUCACCUCUGCGAGGAUUGAAUGAGGACCCCCUACUGACUGGAGAACACCUGCUUCCCUUGUUCCUGGGAGUCUCUCCAUAACAGGGUUUGGAUCUUUUUACUGCCACGAACCUUCUUCUGAAGACUAUGGACUCCCAUUAGGAUAAUGUUUUUAAAUGCAUAAAAACCGAAACAAAGGAUUACAAAGGAAAGCAAUUAAAAUACAGCAAUAAGAAUAAUAAAAACAAAAUUGGAUCACAGGGA